CGCACUGCACUAUCCGGACGACACCCCCGUGAUAGUAUGCCCCAUUGAGUGUCAUUUAUCCAUUCGGACGCUUGCGUGUUGAUUCGCGCUUUCGGACGAGUUCGAGGUCCACAUCCACUCGCUUGGAUGCGCCCCUUGAGAAACAUUAGCACCGAGUCUGUCUGGUGUCCACCCUGUGAUGAAGUUGCAGGCCAAGGCACCGACAAUGCGACCGGCGCUCAUAGUCGCCCUCCGGGCAAACCAGGUGCCUAGCACCAAUCUCUCGUACAUGACCUCAGCGGGGUAGGAUUACCCGCUAGACUUAAGCAUAUUAAUCAGCGGAGGAAAAGAAACUAACAAGGAUUCCCCUAGUAACUGCGAGUGAAGAGGGAAGAGC
rnacentral:misc_RNA from 1 species